AUCGCUUCUCAGCCUUUGACUAAAAUGAAGUGUAGUAUCUGUCCUUACCAGUUUAAUAUCUGAUAUGUUGUCUAUCUGACGACAAUAUAUUAAAUGGAUUUUUGGCUCUAGGAACUGGAAUAGGAGCUUGCUCCGUCCAUUCCUCGUAUCGACUUACUAGUGCAGUACCUCCAGGAAUGGUGCAUAGAAA